AUUGAACGCUGGCGGCAGGCCUAACACAUACAAGUCGAGCGGAUGAAGGGAGCUUGCUCCUGGAUUCAGCGGCGGACGGGUGAGUAAUGCCUAGGAAUCUGCCUGGUAGUGGGGGAUAACGUCCGGAAACGGGCGCUAAUACUGCAUACGUCCUGAGGGUGCAAGUUGGGGAUCUUCGGACCUCACGCUAUCAGAUGAGCCUAGGUCGGAUUAGCUAGUUGGUGGGGUAAAGGCCUACCAAGGCGACGAUCCGUAACUGGUCUGAGAGGAUGAUCAGUCACACUGGAACUGAGACACGGUCCAGACUCCUACGGGAGGCAGCAGUGGGGAAUAUUGGACAAUGGGCGAAAGCCUGAUCCAGCCAUGCCGCGUGUGUGAAGAAGGUCUUCGGAUUGUAAAGCACUUUAAGUUGGGAGGAAGGGCAGUAAGUUAAUACCUUGCUGUUUUGACGUUACCAACAGAAUAAGCACCGGCUAACUUCGUG
rnacentral:rRNA from 1 species